AUUAGCUGACCAGUCCCGAAUAGGACGAAAUGCGCAUCCUGAAU
rnacentral:hammerhead_ribozyme from 1 species